CAACAGGUUUUAGAGCCAAAGAUCACCAAUAUUAAAGACCAACAUAGCUCAAAUUUAAGCAGAAUGUGAUUCAUAUGUAUAAACACAUAAUCAACACUUAUUAAUACAAAAGAUCCAUCACCCACCAAGGAAUACAUUUAAGAACCAUAAGAAACACGUCACCAUCCAUCCUAUAACAUAAAAAAAAAAAAAAAAAAAAAAAAACACAAAUCUGCAACACCCGCCGGGUAAAAUUACAUGAAUUACACAGAAACCCUACCCACAAGUGCAAAAAUAACAUAAAAAGGACAAAUCUCCAACACCCACUUCAUGAAGUCAAAAGGACACAAAUCCUUAAAAACCUGUCAAAUUACAUCAUCCAGUAAACAAAAAAUUACAUAUACAUUUCACUACAACGAAACUGAAAAACAUCGGAUAAGAAAAAAAAAAUUAACAAAACGCAGAAUCGAAUCGGGUUUUAUUUAGGUACCCUUACUCUUCUCCCCUCUGAAGAUGUAUGUUUUAUUAACCCUUUAGCUUAAAAAACUAACAGCGCUUGAGCAAAUUGUAUUCACCUUUCUCUUGUUCUUUGAUUUCUGUUUGUAACUCUGUUUUCUGCGCUGGUUGUACAGUGAAACCCUUAUGGAUUUGAUUCAGGUUUCGUCUUUCCCAGUCGGGCGAAUGGCCAAAUACGUGAUAUCUUAAGUCUCUAUAGAUUUAAUAUUAGUUAAAUAAAUUUUUAACCAGCCUUCUCGUAAUUUCCAAGAGUUUAUAGUGGAGAGUUUUCACCGAACUAAAUUUCAUGCUAUUUUCAUAUUUUUCAUUUGUGUAAUUAUACAUUUUACUAUCAUAUAAUUUCCUCAAAAUGAAAUAUUUUAUGAAAUAUUAAAAUAAAAAUUUGGAAUACCUAUUAUUAAUAACCAUAGACAUUUUACAUCUUAACAUUUCAACUGAAAUAAUGUGUUGCAUAAAGUUACUAGAUCAUAUAUUUUUAUAUGUAUUAUUAUAUCAUUUACUUCAUUGAUAACACAUCACUUAACAUAAAAUUUUAUUAUACUUAAUACUAUUAAUAUUAUAAAAUUAAAUAUUAUCCCAUUAACUAUUUAUUAUUGUUAUUAUUAUUAUUUUAGAAAUUACAAUUAACUAAGCAUUAGCUUAGUUAAUGGUAAUUAAUAUUUUCAUCCCAUACCUUCCCUACAAUUUAAUUCAAGUGGUUAACUAAAGAAAACAGUGGUUAAGCUCAUAUAAGGAAAAACAAAUUGUCAUGGUUUAUAUGAUUCAAUGUAUUAUUAUUUUAAUUUAAUACUUCUACACAUGGAGAUAACUAAAUUUAAUACUCCUACACGUGGAGAUAACUUUUUUGUAUAUGUCUUAGUAAUGUGAUUGUUUGUAUAUGUCUUAGUAAUGUGAUUGUUACUUAUAUGCAAUAUAAUGUCAUUAGUUAAAAAGUAGGACUAUUUAUACCCUAUAAAAUAUUUUGAACACCCUUUAUUAAAAUUUUAAUAUAAAUUUAUACUUAACACACCCUCUUCACACCGAUGAAAAUAUUUUUCUCACAAAACUAUGUUUCUUUUCCUCAAAAUUGCUAAGUGCGUAAUAGCUUGACAUUAUGCAUACAUAUAAGAGCACACAUACAUAUAAUCAUAUGUUCUUAAAGUUAAUAUUGGCGGGAGGGUAAACUUGAUUUAAAAUUUCAUAAAUGUUAAUGUCCUCAAUCUUAAGCUUUAUGCAUACAAUUAUGAAUAUUUAAUCUCUACUCAUAAAAACUAAAAAGGGAGGAAUAAAGAACAAACAUUUGUAAGUUCUUGACAUUAAUGGUGCGUUUACUUCAUGAGAAUGUGAAUAAUGUGGAAUGGGAAUGGGUUGGAAUGGGAAUGAAAUUUCAAUGACAAAAAUAAAUGGGAAUGGGAAUAUACUGGAAUACCAUUGAUGUGUUUACUUGACAAAAUAAAUGGGAAUGAGGAAUGAGAAUGAGAAUCAAUUUACCAAAAUAUCCAUAGUAUUAAUAAUUAAUAAAAAUAAUUAAUUUAUCAUUAUUAACAAUAUUAUCAUUAUUGUUUUUGUUGUUGUUAUUAUUAUUAUUAUUAUUAUUAUUAAAAAUCAUUAAUAAUAACUAAAAUAAAAAAGUUAAUAAAAUUUAAUAAUAAUAAUAAUAUAAUUAUUAUUAAAUUAUAUUAACUUUAUUAUUUUAGUUAUUAUUAAUUAUUGUUAAUAAUAUUUUUAUUAAUAUUAUCAUUAUUAACAUUUAUUAUUAUUAAAUUUUAUUAACUUUUUUAUUUUAGUUAUUAUUAUUUUUAUUUUUAUUAAUAUUAUCAUUAUUAAAUUUAUUAUUAUUAUUUUUAUUAUUAUUAAAUUUAUUAUUUUAGUUAUUGUUAAUUACUGUUAAUAUUAUUUUUAUUAAUAUUAUCAUUAUUAACAUUUAUUAUUAUUAUUAUUAACUUUAUUAUUUUAGUUACUAUUAAUUAUUGUUAAUAUUAUCAUUAUUAACAUUUAUUAUUAUUAUUAUUAUUAUUAACUUUAUUAUUUUAUUUAUUAUUAAUUAUUGUUAUUACUAUUUUUAUUAAUAUUAUCAUUAUUAACAUUUAUUAUUAUUAUUAUUAUUAUUAUUAUUAUUAUUAUUAACUUUAUUAUUUUAGUUACUAUUAAUUAUUGUUAAUAUUAUCAUCAUUAACAUUUAUUAUUAUUAUUAUUAACUUUAUUUAUUAUUAAUUAUUGUUAUUACUAUUUUUAUUAAUAUUAUCAUUAUUAACAUUUAUCAUUAUUAACAUUUAUUAUUAUUAUUAUUAAAAUUAAAUUUUAUUGAAUUUGUUAUUUUAGUUAUUAUUAUUUUUAAUAAUAAUAAUGAUAAAUGUUAAUAAUGAUAAUAUUAAUAAAAAUAAUAAUAACUAUAAUUAAUAAUAACUAAAAUAAUAAAGUUAAUAAAUUUUAAUAAUAAUAAUAAUAACAACAAUAAGGAUAAUAUUGUUAAUAAUGAUAAAUUAAUUAUUUUUAUUAAUUAUUAUUUUUAUCAUUAUUUUUAUUGUAAAUAAUGAUAAUAUUACUGAUAAUAAUAAUAAUAAUUAAUAAUAACCAAAAUAAUAAAGUUAAUAAAAUUUAAUAAUAAUAAUAAUUAUUAUUAUUAAUGACAUUUAAAAUAAUAUUAUUAUUUGUGAUUUGAAUAAGGGUAAUUUAGGAAAUAUGAAAAAAUUAGAAGGAUAGAAAAAUAAAUUUAUGUUUUAUUAUCAUUCCCAACUCCCCAUGGGAAUGUGAUUCGCAUUCCUUAUUUCAGAUUGUGUGGGACCUACACAUUUUAUUCUCAUUUCCAAAUUACAUUUUGUUAAGUAAACAUAUGUUUCAUUCUCAUUCCUUCAUUCUAAUUCCCCAAACCCAUAAGUAAACACAGCAUAAGAACUUAUUCAGAUGAAUAUUAAUUUUGUCUCACAUUAAUUACAGUCUUUUUUUAUCCGUCUCAUUCCAUAAAACGAAUGGAAAUAUACUACUCCGUUCAAUAAUGCUAUUCCUCACAACUCUACCAACUCCAAUGAAGGAGACAAAGUUAAAUGUGUAAAACGCACUAAAUGCAUGCUUGGAUCAUAAAAGGGAGUUGCUUGAAGCCUUGAACCUGUAAAAUAAGAGUAAUGAUGCAGCAGGAUUUUGUAGCUCUGCUUUUGUAGGAAUCAUGGGACAUGUUGCGAAUAUGAUUGGUGAUGAAUAUUGCAUGGAGAUAAUCACAUAGAUAAAUGUUGUUGAUUCCACAUAGUUUAUCGGUGAUAAUAAAGUUAUAUCAAACUCUAAUAGAAGGGUAUAGUUAAGAAUAAUAUUUUAUUUCAUUGCAUAAGACACUCUUUAGUUAUAAAAUCGAAGUCGAGUGUUCAUAAUAUUUUUUACGAUGUAAAUAGCCCGCCCAUGAUUAAAAAUAUAAAAUUAACAAGGACUUAUAUAAAGAUCUUUAUGUGCAGGUAAAAUAUGAAUAGGACGAGGGAAAGUGAUUAUAAUAAUAUUAUAUCAUAGAAUUUAUAUGUUUACACAUUAAAAAAAAUGGUUGAAUCAUUUAAAUAGAGACUUGGUAACGUAGAAAACUGAAGUAAAAUAACAAGAAUUUUGUUAAAUCAAAGACGAUUUGGUUGGAAUUUGGCAAAGAAAUGGAACCCUAAUUUUUACUAAAAUUAGGCAAAAGAAAGCUUCUUCCCAAUUUGUUAAGUAAAUUCCUAUUUACCAGCUCAGAAUGGCUAUCCUGAGUUUGUGGAAAUAAAGCAACGGGUGUCACCACAAGAUAUGAUGAAUUCCCCUAAUCAAGGACAAACCCAUCACCAUAAAUAAACCCGACAAUCUCUUCCUCAAAUCAUCCCCAGCAUUUGAACGAUCUGCAUUGUUCUCUAUAUUCAGUAGAGAACCUUGCAUAUAAGGGGACAAAAAAUUAAAAAUAAUAAGACGAAAAACACAAACCCCAUCGUACAUGAUGGCUCGCCAGGUCAUUGUUCUUGCUCUCAUUUUUGUAGCCAUUAUCAGUGUGGCCUCAGCCCAGCAGGAACCCAUUAUUCAGCCACAACCCAAUGAACCCCAGCAGCCUAAUCAGCCGCAGGAACCCAAUCAGCCUAACCAACCCCAGGAACCCAAUCAGCCUCAGGAACCCAAGCAGCCUGAUCAGCCACAGACACAGCCACCUACCCAGCAACCACAGCAGCCCCAGCAGCCAAAUCAGGCACCCGGUGAGGCACCAACACAGGCACCUCCAGCCGGUGGUGCACCCGCACCGGCACCCGGAGAAGCCCCAGCAGGAGGCCCAAGCAGUGGACCAGCUGCUGGACCUGGACCUGCAGAAGGCCCCUCUGGCGAGGCUAAGUUGCCUGAGGUUGCAAUGCCAGGACCAGUGGGCGAGGGAGAUGAGAACAAGUCGGAAGGGAGUGGUGCAAGCUCCCUCAAAGUCUCCGCCCUCGUCGCUGGUGUUGCAGUCGCUGCUGCUUUCUUCUACUAAUCAUGAGCAAAUUAGCUACGUCUACAAAACCACGUACCCGAUUGACUAACAUUCGUCGGUUGUCUACCGCAAAGCUCAUUUGAUAUAUGGAUUUGUUUGUCAUUAAAAUUCGAGGUUUUACGUAUCAUGAUGAGUUUUAAAAUAUUGUGGAUUGGAGAUAUUUGGAUCUAUCAUUGGAUAAUUUCUAAGUUUAACCAAUUUUUAUCAUCAUAUGUGCCUGUGGGUGCCUCUUCCGAGUUGAGGCUCGUAUAUAAAAAUAUUAUCCAUUGUUUACGUCCUGCAGGCUGCAUGGCGACUGAUCGAUGCAUGUCUUUAUCUUUGGUCAAUUGCCUUUUGUUCUUUAUGGAAUAGGGUGGUGCUUAAUCCUGAAGAAAUGAAAUUGCUCGCAUUCAAUCACAAUAUUGUCACGAUUUGCUUUAAUUUAAAGAUUUUAUUAAUCCCGCCUAUUUAAAUAAAUAAUAUCCUGGCUUUAAUUUAUUGAGAUGAAAUUAAAACGAGACUUUGGAAUCCCUGAUCAGACGACGAGCGCUUGUUGCAGCAAGCAAUAAUAAAAGGUGGCGAACCAAGUGAAUGAAAUAUAUAUCCGGAUCCCCUGAGUUACAGUUAACGCAACUUACAGGAGCUGCUUUAGUCUUCUCUGAAUUGUCGCCGUAAAAUAUCGUGGAGCCCCUGUACUUUAUAUUAUUGAAAAUUUAUAAAUAUAAGUAGGGUUAUUUUUAAAGACCUCCCCUGAGGUUUAGUGUACUUACAGUCGGAUAGAAAGUAUGCAUGUAAUUAUAGGAACCUCCCCUAACGUUAGUAUUCAAAUACGUAUGGCAUCAGUAUGUAAGGGUAAAUGUGUAAACAUAUAUUUAAAAUUAAAAAAAAAAAUCAAAAGUGAGAUGAUUUUGUUGAUUCGGCUCUUUCACAGCCCUUCAAAGGAGCCAACAUCAUCGGGACCCUCACAGCUCUCAACGCCGAAGUCCGCUGGUGGUCCUGCAAUAUCUUCUCAACCCAAGACCACGUGGCCGCCGCCAUCGCACGUAACUCAGCCUCCGUCUUCGCUUGGAAGGGCGAGACCCUCUAGGAGUGCUGGUGGUGCACAGAGAAAGCUCUGGAUUAGGGUCGCGGCGGCCCAGAUCUCAUCAUUGACGACGGUGGUACGCCACGUUGUUGAUCCACGAGAGGGUCAAAGCUAAGGAGAUCUACGAGAAGACCCGGAAGCUACUCGACCCGGCCUCCACCGACAACGCCGAGUUUCAGAUUGGUUGUACCAGAUGCAAGAAAAUGGAACCCUCUCGUUCCCUACCAUCAAUGUCAAUGACUCUGUCACCAAUAGUAAGGUAAUUUACUUUGAUUUGCUUCAGAUCUCAAAUUUAUUUUAUACUAUCAAUUCAUUAAAUGUUUGAAAUAUUGGAAGAAAUUAAAUACUAAUGUUUGAUAAUGCAAUGGGGGAAACAAUUUGAUGACUUGUAUGGAUGCCGCCACUCGCUCCCAGAUGGUUUGAUGAGAGGUUUUGAUGUUAUGAUUGCCGGAAAGGUUGCUGUUGUUUGCGGUUAUGGUGAUGUUAGCAAUGGUUGUGCUGCUACUUUGAAGCAAGCCGGUGCAUGUGUAAUUGUAACUGAGAUUGAUCUGUACUAGGAAGUUAGGUUUAAAUUUCGUAGGAGUGUGUGUUUGGGUGGUGGGAAAGUUGAAGGAAAGAAAUAGAUUGGUUUCAGUUGAUUGAAGACCAUUUGGGAUUUGAAUAAGGUUAUGGAUGGAGCUGUGUGGAUCAUUUUGUAUUUGAUGCAGUUUUAAAGUUUUGCUUGCUUUGCUGCAUCUUGUUAUCCUAUUAUUUACUUAUGAAUGAUUAAAAAAAUUUUGUUUGGAGGUCAAGAAAAAACGAGAGAAAAUUUCAAUGAAAACGGAGAAUCAGUCUAAAAAAUAACUUAUCAUUUUGAGGAGAAGGGUACUUUUGUAAUUUUAACGGUCUACUAACAGUCAAACUAACUGGAUACUAACGUCAGGGGAGGUGCUUGUAAUUACGUGGAUACUUUCUAUCUAACUGUAAAUACACUAAACCUCAGGGGAGGUCCCUAAAAAUAACCCAAUAUAAGUAUUACGAAACUUUCUGUAUUGUAAAAUUUUGUUCAGACUCUUGCACUCUAUUUUAUUUCAUUGAAACCUUCAGAGUAUCAAAUUCAUCCCCUAUAAUUUUUAAAUUCUCAAAAUACCCUUCAUUUAAGUAAAAUAUCAUUAUUAUUAAAUGGAUUAUAGUUAUAAUUACAAUUAAAAUAAUUAUUUUAUUAUAAUUAUAAUUAUAAUUUUUAAAUGGAUUAUUAUAAUUAUUAUUAAUAACAAUAAUAAAAAGUUAUAAUUAAUUAAUCUAUUAACAAUAAUUAAUAAUAAUUUUUAUUUAAAUUGUUAAUAAUAAUAAUUAACAAUAAUUGUUAUGAAUAAUUAAUUUUUGAAUAAUAAUAAUCACAAUAAUUAAAAUAUAAAAUAAUAAUUAUGAUAAAAAUUAAUUAAGGAUUUUAUAAUAACCUUCAAGGAUAUUAAUCAUCGACAAAAUUUUUAAGGAUAUUAUCAUUCAUCUUCUUUAUAAUAUCAUCUCAUAAUAAUUAAUAUUUUCAUGAUAAAAGGAUUAACAAAAUAAAAAGUAAAUUUCCUUUGAAUUCAUCCAUUUCCACUAUUAACUUCUUUUCAUAAGCAACCUUCAUUGAUAAUUGAAGCCAUCAUUAGACUCAUCAUAGAGAAAGAGAGUGAGAGUGCGGAAGAAGAAAUGGGGAAAAAAAUGAAAUGUUUACAAUUUUAUAGUGUAUUCACUAAACAAUAAUCAAAAUUAGCUGGAAACAUAAUGAGUUAGAAUCGAAAUGAGAAAUUGGAAUCAGAAUAAUUUAUUUACUUGAAUUGCAAGAAUCGUAAUUACAAUGAGCUAUAUUACUAUUUAUAUGUUUUACUUUGUUUUAGAAUCAAAAUCGGAAUGAGUUAAAUUGUAACAAAUUAAUAUAAACAAAUCCUUAAUUAAUUUUUAUUGUAAUUAUUAUUUUGUAUUUUAAUUAUUGUGAUUAUUAUUAUUAUUCAAAAAUUAAUUAAUAAUAAUAAUUAUUGUUAAUUAUUAUUAUUAUUAACAAUUUAACUAGAAAAUUAUUAUUAAUUAUUGUUAAUAGAUUAAUUAAUUAAUUAUAAUACUUUAUUAUUAUUGUUAUUAGGGAUAUUAUCAUUUUCCCACCUAAGGUAUUCUGACACAUCAUGUCAGUACCACGGUUUGGUAAAACUAUCAAUUUACCACCAAACGUUUAAACUGUUAGCAUUUUCCCACCAUUCCGUUAAAACUCAUUUAAUAUGUAACGGAAAAUUUCUAAAAGGUCAAUUUUACCCCUGGAGUAUAAAAAACCAUGUAAUUAACCUUUUAUGAAUUUUGUAAUUAAAUCAUCAUUUGUUGUUCUUCAUUCUUAAAGGACAAAAAUUACCAUUUAUGAAUUUUGUAAAAUUGACCAUGUGGUAUUAGGUACUUCAUAAAUUGAUUUAAUUGAUUUAAUUUUUAAAGGGCAAAUUUAUUUAUUUAAUUUUUUGUGUAAAAUUAUUAUCAUCAUAUCAAAGAUUAAAUUGCUUCUUUUGCACAUUCUUUUUUUUUUCCCUUUCAUAAAUUGAUGUUUAGUAGUAGAAUAAAUUGUCUUUAGCUCGACAAUUUAAUAAAUAAAUUUGACCUUUAAAAAUUAAAUAAAUUAAAUCAAUUUAUAAAAGUACCUAGCACCACAUGGUCAAUUUUAUAAAAUUUAUAAGGGGUAAUUUUUGUCCUUUAAAAAGGAAGAACAACAAAUGAUAAUUUAAUUACAAAAUUCAUAAAAGGUUAAUUACAUGGUCUUUUACACUUCAGGGGUAAAAUUGACCUUUUAUGAAUUUUCUGUUACAUAUUAACGGAGUUUUAACGGAAUGGUGGGAAAAUGCUAACAGUUUAAACGUUUGGUGGUAAAUUGAUAGUUUUACCAAACCGUGGUACUGACAUGAUGUGUCAGAAUACCUUUGGUGGGAAAAUGAUAAUAUCCAUUGUUAUUAAUAAUUAUUAUAAUAAUCCAAUUAAAAAUUAUAAUUAUAUUUAUAAUUACAGUUAGGGGUGGGCGUUUGGAUCGGGUUAACCUGAACCGAACGAAACCCGAAAUUUUAUUUUGGUCUCGGUUUGGUUUGUGUUAACUAUAAAAAUCCAAAUGGAUUCAAAUUUCCAACCGGUUCGGCUUGGAUUUCGGUUCGGGUUGAACCCGAAUCGAAAUCGAGACCAGAUCGGGUUAAUUGAAAAAAAUAAAUAAAUAAAACUUAGAACACCAAAAAAUCAAAACCCUUAUUUCCUCUUUUCUCUUCUUUGCACUCCACAUCGAGACAAGCACAACCUCAACCCCAGCACACUCACAAUCUCACUCACAAACACCACCGGUGUCAAUUCAACUCAGUUAAGGUGCAUCAGCGUUGCAAUUUUAGAUUCAGAUGCUGCCUCCUUCUUCGUUUCAGAUCUAGUAUUCUUGGGCCCUUCGCUUUAGAUCUAGUCGUUGCCUCCUUCUUCGUUCGUAGUCGUCAGGAGCACAAGGUGAUGUUAAUGUCGAUGAUGUUUACGAUUCCGAUGAUGUUAUUUUUAGUGAUGUUUGCAUUUCGCUGCCUCCUUCUUCGUUAUUGUUAAUUGAAUGUAUAUUUUUGGAAGGAUUUGGUUUUCGGGACUUGGCAAACAAAUCCAAUCUCAGGUUCUAUUCCUCUGUUGAUACCCGUUUGCACUUAUCCAUUAGAAUUUUAUUAUGACGUUGCAACUCUCUGCGUAGCAACUGUAGUUUGUCUUUAACAGGAAUGGCUGCAUCUAUUUCAGCAAGAACUUGUAGGGUUGGCAAAAACCCGGGUCCGGUCCAGGUUUGGCCAUGCCCGGGACUGGACCGGAUCAAUAAAACAGCUGCCCGAACCGGGAUUGUGCCCGAUUUUUUCACAUCCAAUCCAGGUCAGGCCCGACACCUCCCGAGCACGGGUUUUUUAUCCGGGCUUUCUCUGCCCAGAUAAAUUACUGGUUUGCUGUAGUUAUUAAAGAUUCCAAUGAAAUCAACCUUGCAAAUCAUUCCAUUUACGGCAAAUCAAUUCCAAAACCAGCCAAUCUUAAAAUGCAAAAGUUUGAUAUCCAUGGAGCAAUGUUUGUGGUUCUUUGCCAAAAGAAUAGCCUGAAAAACGUGAGUCGAUGAUCUGCACUGCGUGGGUUCGAGUGGCUGGGUUCGCGUCGCGUGGGUUCGAGUGGCUGGUGCUAGGUUUACUGCUGGCUACUGCUGAGGUGGCUUCAUGCAUCGUGGCGGUGUGCUGGCCGGGUUUGUUGGAGGCUGCUGCUGCGGUGAUUUCACGUGGCUGCUGGGUUCGUAAAUCGCUACUUUACUGUUGGUGGUUGUGCUCGUGGCUGCUGGAUUCGGCGAUGAUUGGUCGUGGGUGCUAUUGUCGUGCUGGUUUUGAUCGGUUAGGUGAUGGCUGCUUGAGAGAUGUGUAAGAAGUGCAUACUGCACAGCAUUUAAUUUUAGAUAUUUUUUUAAAGGAGAAAUGCAAAUUAUGAAGAAAUUUGUGCUAUUAGAAUGAAAAAAAAAAUGAACUAAUUUGCAGAUUUUUUAUUUGAAAAGGAUUCAUGCUAGAGAAAGCCAAAAGUAAAGAAAAAGAAAAGAAGAAAAAAAAAAGAACCAUAGUCAUAUAACAGCAUGUGAGGGCUAUCAAAUGGUGCUUAAAGCACUCAAGAGUCAAGAUCUAAGCCAAGUGGUGGUCAAAGCACUCAAGAGCCAAGAGCUUGAGUGCUUUUGCUUUUUGCAAUCAGAUGAUGAUUUUGCAGGAUGUAUAAGACGUUUUUGCAAUCAGUGCUAGCUUGGAGUGUUUGCUGGGGGGGUGUUUGCUUUUUGCAGUUGGCAGCUUGUGUUUCCUUGGAAUGUUGAGUGGUGGCCGCUAGCUUGGAGUGUUGGAGAGCUGGAUGUGCGGCAGCCGGCAGUAGUGCUUGUGUUUGCAUACGAAUAAGAUAGAAAAUUACGGUAAGUUUCAAUUUUGGGUGUAUUACAUUUAUAUAUAUAUAUUUUAACUUAUCAAAACCCGGGCACGGAUCCGGGUUCCGAGUUUUUGGUGCCACAACCGGAACCGGACCUGGAAGUAUCCGGGUUUUAAACUUCAAUAACUGGACCCGUAUUAUUUGUAUAUGCGGUCCGGGUUUUGCCCGGACCUGAUUGGCCGGUUCCGGGCGGGUUUUAUUGCCACCCCUAAGAACUUGCCGAUAUACAUUCUAGAUUAUGCAUAUUUGCUUAACAUCAAUUACGAUUGGCCUUGAUAUGUGCUCCAAACUCUUGCAUAUAUAGAAUUGAACUUUAUUUUUAUUCUGAUUUAAGAUUUAAGAUUUGAGAAUUUAAAAUUUUAGUUGGUUAAUGACGAAUGUUUGGACAAUCAAACUAUUAUAACCCGAUUUCAACCCAAACCCAAAUUUCGAUCUGAAUUACUAACCCAAACCGAACCGAAAUAAUUUCGAUUCGGUUUAGUUUAGGUUUGUCUUUUGAACCCGAUUGGGUUGAAACCCAAACCGAAAUCCAAACAACCGAACUGAAACCUAAUUUGCCCACCCUUAAUUACAGUAAAAUAAUUAUUAUAAUUAUAAUUAUAAUCCAUUUAAUAAUUAUUAUAUUUUAUUUACAUGGAGGGUAUUUUGGGAAUUUAAAAAUUAUAGGGGAUGAAUAAUGAAUUUCAUACUCUAAGGGUUUCAAUGAAAUAAUAUAGAGUGUAAGACGCUGAACGAAAUUUUACAAUACAAAAAGUUUCACAAUACUUAUUAAUAAAUUGUGAAUAAUAUAAAGUGCAAGGGGCUCAGAGAUAUUUUACAGUAACAUUUCAGCAAACAGAGAAACAGCGGCAAGUUACGUUAACUGUAACAUGGGGAAUCCGAUCCGGAUCCAUAUAGGGGGAUCCUAUAAGGAUAUAUUGACAACCUAAGUUCGUAUCCGAGGAUAAGUACAGAUCCUUGAGGGCAAUAACAGACGGCAAUUAAACUUUGCGUUUCCUUCAAAUAUUCGAUAUUCCUCCAUACAUCCGGUGUCUUAUAAACGGGACGAAUUUCGUCGCCGUAGCCGGUAAGUGCUAAAAGUUAAAAGGUUUUCAGAAUUAUAUACCGCUGCCUUCUCCAACUUGCUGAGCUUUCAGCUUUGCACUCUUGAAUUCUGAAUACGACAUUAAUUUUUGUAAUUAGACAGACAUUAACAUUUAACCGGCCCGGCCGGGAACUUCAAGUUGUUAAAUAUGACAUGAACAUUCAGUAUCGGGAACCACGUUGUGUAUAAAGUAAAGAAAAUGCACAAGAAAAUCUUUCAACAUCAUCAAAUCGAGGGCCAGUGCACAACGCUGGCAUUUGCAUUGAGCUUUCUGAAACUGAAACUGAAACUGAAACAGUAACAGCACAGAUUGGCUGAUAAAAUACAUAACUAUAAAUUAUGGAGAUAAAAUUUUUGGAAUUAAAAAAGAUUCCUGAAGUGGCAGAUUAAACUGGAGGAUUGGUCAUCAGAUAGAUGGAACAGACGCGUACACUACACAGGCAGUUGGAAAUAUUUAUACAUGGAACUAACAAGAAUCAGUCAUACCCAACUCCUAAAUUACAUGACAAAACUAAAGAUUCACAAAGCAGAACUGGAUGAAGCGAGUGAUCUUGUAAAAGAAUACAAAAGCCAAGAAUAAUGCACGAGAGAGCAUGCCAUGCUAAGUAAAAAUUGCAGCUGCCAGUGUGGGGAAAGGCAGCUUUCCACAUUAAGCAAGUAGAAACCCUCGGAACAACAUAGUCAGGUGGGUAUCUGAGAUUAUGCCUCCUUAAAACUCAUAAUCUCAUUCCUCAGACAGGAAACCUAAUGUACAUUUGAGCAGAACAUUUCAAACCCUCUCCAUAAACCACAAAACUUUCAUCCCUAAUCACUUUUCUGGUAUACAAAAACAGAGACAAUGAUCAAUCUAUCAAUAAAAAUCCAUCGAAAGAAACGGUACAAAUGAAAAUCAAAUCUGAUUACAACAAAUUCAUACUGCAUGACAGAGGAAAUGUACAUGGAAUGUGGCAUCAUGCCUUCACCUGCAACAUUCUCAAAACAACCAAAACUCUCAGUUCCAGCCCAAUAGAAUGAUGCAGAAGUCCACAAUUUACGACUCCCAUGUGCAGGUAAACCUCACAACUUACAUAGACAAUAAUAAUAAUAAAGGUUAAAAAAAAAGGCACACUUCCAAUGUUCCUUUAUCUUUUAUGUAGAAAAUACAACUAGUUCUACACAUGUUACAAUAAUCAAUUACAAGUGAAACAAUUCCAGGUUACAAAUUACUAAAAGCUCAUCACUGACUAUCCUAAAUCAGUUACACUGCAUCAAAUGUAAACACAAUUGUGCCUCAAAGUCAGUACAACAGUCUUACAAGCUCACAGCGAGCCACAAAUAGUCAAAUAAAUAAUGAAAGAGGCCUUUACAUGUGAUGGACCUAAUACAUGUAACUCAAUUUUACAGAAACAUGAGAUGAUGCUUUACAAAAUGGUAUAUAAACCUAUUAAACAAAAUCCUUUCCAUUUUUUGACAAUUUCAUGGCUUCAACUAUUUCUAGGCAUUCUCUUCCAGGAGAGCAGUUCACACAUUCUUAAGGGCCGCUCGAGGGGGCAAAAAAGUGAAAGCCAAAAUUGUCAAGGCUUGUUUGCACACUUGACAGACCAAAGCCAAUAUUUGAGAAAGCGAAUGAAUGCAGCCCAUCAAACACAUCUUCCUUGGUUGCUACUCCACUCCCUGAAUAUGGUGAUAAAAAGAAAGCCCCCAUGUCAAUAGACUUGGAAAAAGAAAACCUACCAGCCAAAGAGGCCACUAAACUUUCCUCAAAGAGCACUACAUGAUUUUAGUACCAUAUUCCUACAAUCAAUGAAUCAAUCACAAUCACCCAUGACUGGGGACCUCAUGUAAGUCCUACAUGAUAAACAGCCCAGAUUUCACAACAGGGAAGUAAAGCCCUUAACUGGAAGGUGUUUUGCUCUCUUUGAUCAGAUAACAUAUCAAACUCAAGUACGUCCAAAUCCACCCAUUCAUAACAAAAGUCUAAGGGAAUCACACUUCUACAAAACACAAAUACAUUAUUUGCCAUGUGACUUUACUAAAACUACCGUACCCGGCUGAAACUCACAACACCAGAUAUGACAACUUUUCAUUCUAGGAUAAACCAUAAUAAAAUAAUAUCAUACACUAGAAAUUAGGGAAAACAUUCUAUUAUACUAGUUACCACCAAAAUAACGGAACUUCUAAAAUAUAUAAUGAUUUGGAAGAUAGUUCUUUUAUGGCUAAAAUAGUGUUUUGGAAGAAGAAACAAAAGUUCAAAUAGCUGUUUUAAUAUUUAAAAGUAUAUUGAUCUUCAAGAGAACUAAUCAAAUUAAAAUAACUAAUUGAAACUUCAAAGAACAAUCACAAACGAUUAGUAGAAAGAAAAAGAAAGAGGGAAGCAAGAAAAGAAAGCAGCCAACCAUGCCUUCAAGAAAAGCUUCUCUCUCUCUCUCUCUCAUUUUUCUUUGUGAUUUUUUUUCUUCUUUUCGAGUAAAACCAAAAAGAUUGUAUCCGAAGGACAAGAAAAAGAUAUAAAAAAAUUCAAAAAGGUGAACAAGCAAUCCACUGAACCAGCAAACGAAUCAAACAAAACAACCAAACAAAAACAGAAGCACCAAAAAUCAAACACUACUCACGACUUCAAGAAAAGCUUUCAGAAACAGAUUCUUAGUUGACAUUCACUAAGAUACGAAAGAGAAGAUUGGAAGCCAUUUACUAGACCAACAACUCCAAAAAUUGGCCAUCAUAUCCACUUAUCCUUACCCCCAAUUCCAAGCGAAAAAACCUAAAAGAAUUUAACAUUCCAAGUAAUCCACCAGUCCAUAAGCAUAAGCAGCACCACACAUACAUUGUGGAUAUAAUUCAAAAUGGGAGGAUGAAUAACAUAGACUUUAAUAAAUAGUUACGAUGCCCUAGCAAUAUUUGAAACAUUGCUAGUAUGACUUGCUGAUCAAAUAAAACUCACUUGAAAAGAAAAUAAUAAAGGCAUGCUACAUAUCAGCUGUUGCUUCUUCUGAGGAAGGUCAAUUUGAUGGGAAGAUACAAAGACCACAUAUUAAACAUUGUCAAGUCCGAGAGAAACCCCUGAAGUAGGACUUCAUUUUCUAAGACAAGACUAAGAAUCCUUAAUUAGUUGACCAUCACCACUUUGGCCAGCACUUUACCCCUUAUGGGCCGACCCGGUGCGAGCGGGGAUUAGUCUGGGUUGUGGUACGGGCUUAAAGGUGCCUCCCACAGUUGGGGCCCACUCAGGACCACCUCGUGGUUCAGACAAAAAAAAAAAAACUAUUCUAAUAAAAGACAGAUGAAUUCUAAUUCCAAAUUCAAAUCUAAAUGUCAUUUGAAGUGAUACAAAGGACCCAGAAGGCAGAAGGACACAGCUAUCACAUGCAUCAGUUUAAAUAUUAAAGUCAUGCACUGACUCAGACUUACGAGCACCCUUUAAAUACAAUCCCAAUAAAAAUAAUGGGUUGGCAUGGAAAAAAAACCAUAUUCUAUAAUCAACUAUAAAAAAACCAUAUUCUAUAAUCAACAACUACGAGAAGACACAGGUGUAGAAAGCAAUAUGGACAACUAAUUCAAACUAUGAUAUAAUUAGAGUAGGCUUUGUAACAUGUGACCAGAAGCCCCAAAACCAUUGUCUCAGAAAUAGAUUCAGUAGAAUAAAUAUAAAGCCAUUGGGAUACUCGGCAAGGAUAUCAAGAGUCCAACCCUAGAUAGAAUAUCCCCAUUGGCAUGCAACUCAAAGUCACUCAUCAUUUUUUAACAAACAAAUAAGUGUUGGCAGUAACGUUUAUAGAAUGCAGUACGAAAGAACAGAGAAUCUAUGCUUCCCUUCUACAAAUAUGAGAACUUACUUUUCCCUCAAGAAACCACUCUGCAUUUAGGCCACAGUAACCAGGAAAAGCGAUAGGUAGAAGCAUUGUAACAACCCAAGAGCAAUACAGUAAGAUAUAGAGAAUAUGAGGUCUUGUAUGACAUGCCACGGAAGAAUGAAAAGCGUGACUCUGUCACUCUGAUGGUAGCCGUCUCCUCUUCCCAUAGUCCACAUCUCUCGAUCGAGAUCUGUGGUCUUCAUCUGGGAUUACUCCGGACCUGCUCCGAGAUCUUGAAGACGAUUGCCCCUUGUCCCAGUUGUCAUCAUAAGUUGAGUCACGAUCUCUUUGUCGACGAUCACGAUAACUAUCUUUUUCUUCCCUGUGUCUGUGAUCUCUGUGAUCCCUUUCAGAUCUGUCCCAGUCUUGUUCCCUCUCCUCUCGGUGCCUCCUAUCUGUGUUCCCAGACCAGUCACGCUCAGAACCACGAUCCUUUUCCCGGGAGGCAGCAGUUGACCUUGCUCCUUUUUCAUGACUUGCCUCCCCAUACCCAUAAUCAGAAGCACCAUCAUCACCACCAUAACUUGACUCCCUUGUCCUUCGUCCAUAUUCCUCUCCUACCCAUCCACCCAUGCUUGAGUCAGUCCACAUCCCUGGAUGCGGUCCAUCCAUUCCAGAAGAACCCAUCAUACCCAUCCCAUUAGCUGCCAUUCCUCGGUUAAAGAAUGCUGGGUUGACAUGAGGAGCCACCCCAGCAAGGCCCAUUGCAUUAACAGCAGGAAAUGAAGGAAGCAUACCAGGAAAACCUGGACCCGAAAAACCUCCAUAACCACCUCCUCGACCCAUGUAUGUUGGAUCAAACCCUCCCAUCAUAUUCUGUGGAUGCAUCAUACCACCUGCAGGACCCCCAAAGCCAGGACCUGCAAGGCCUUGUCCAUAACCUCCACCAGCAGCAGGUCCAGCACCGCUUCCAGCUCCAGAACUACUCCCAAUCAUGUUCCUUGCACCCAUGGGCCCUCUUCCCCUCAUCGCUCCACCACCAGGACCUCUGUUGGGUACACCCUGCCCACCUCGUCCCCAGCCGCCCCUUCCAAAAUUCCUACCUCCAUCACCACUCUGAUAAUUCGUGUUACCACCUCUCCCACCACCGUCGUUCAUAGGUCUGCUUCCCUGAUUCUGUGACUGAGGCUGGCCUUGGUUUUUGUUCAUGUAAGAAGCUCCCAUCUGUUUCAAUGUUUGAGGAGAAGCAAAAGCCACAACACAUGGUCGUCCAUUGAAAACAUGACCAUUCAUUCCAUCUUUGCACGCAGCUGCAGCAGCUGCAUCAAAGAAUUCGACUUGGCAAUAACCUUUGGAUUUACCACUAGCUCUCUCAUCAAAAAACUUAAUCUCCUUGGCCCUUCCAUACUGAGACAAAACACUUUCAAGCUCCGCAUCAGUUGUCCACCAAUGUAAUUCUCCCACAAACAGCAUUGUCCCACCAUUCUCUAGAGGAGGCCGGAUUUGAUUCUCAUUCACCAUUACACGAUUGACAUUUGCAUUUACACCCAUUUGAUUAGCUGGAAUCAGAGCACCUUGAGGACCAGCAGCACCGGGAUUUAGCACAGGUGCAGGCUCAUUGGCUGCUCUUCCCGGCAGAUUAGAAGGAUCAACUCCAGUUCUUGGGGGACCUGACGUAGACCCUUGAAAACCCAUAUUUCUAACAUGGGCAUCAUGAGUUGUCUCUUGGACACUCCCUUUCUGUGAAACAGAAGCUCCAUCUGGGUAAUUACCAGAUCCCAUGUUUGGUCUGUUGACAGCAACCUGCACAUCAUUUUGAGCAGGAAAGUGGGACCCAGCAUUGGUGUACUUUCCUUCAACAGAAACCCCAGGGAUGUUUGACCCUUGUGAACCCCCAACUUGAACUCGUUGCUCGGGAACAUCAGUUUUCUUAACUUGAAGUCUUCCAUUGCCCACACCAGCGGAUGGGGGAGGUGCCUCAGGCUGCUGAAACUGCAAUAAACCAUCUCCGACAUUAACAUCAUUAUAUAGAUCAUCAUACUCAUCAUCUUCUCCCAUCAACUCUUCAUCUGCAAGAGCAGGUAUAGCUCCACCUCCCUGAUACUGCAUCUUUUGAGCCCCUCCAUACUCGUCCUCCUCAUAAUCUAUUUGUUCUUCAGCCAUCGAAUGCACUUAAGCUGACCAAGUUAUAUCAAAAUAAAGAAAUAUUAUCUCUAUUCCUCCCAUGCAGAACUAUGAACAAAGAUAAAAGACCAUUCAAAAUUGUUCUGCUUCUCUACAUCAACAGGUUUUAGAGCCAAAGAUCACCCAUAUUAAAGACUAACAUAGCUCAAAUUUAAGCAGAAUGUGAUUCAUAUGUAUAAACACAUAAUCAAUACUUAUUAAUACAAAAGAUUCACUACCCACCAAGGAAUACAUUUAAGAACCAUAAGAAACACUUCACCAUCCAUCCCAUAACAUCACAAAAAAACACAAAUCUGCAACACCCGCCUGGUAAAAUUACAUGAAUUACACAGAAACCCUACCCACAAGUGCAAAAAUAACAUAAAUAGGACAAAUCUCCAACACCCACUUCAUAAAGUCAAAAGGACACAAAUCCUUAAAAACCUUUCAAAUUACAUCAUACAGUAAACAAAAAAUUACAUAUAUAUUUCCCUAAAAUGAAACUGAAGAACAUCCGGAUAAGAAAAAAUAAUAAUAAUAAAACGCAGAAUCGAAUCGGGUUUUAUUUAGGUACCCUUACUCUUAUCCCCUCUGAAGAUGUGUGUUUUAUUAACCCUUUAGCUUAAAAAACUAACAGCGCUUGAGCAAAUUGUAUUCACCUUUCUCUUGUUCUUUGAUUUCUGUUUGUAGCUUUGCUUUCUGCGCUGGUUGCACAGUGAAACCCUUAUGGAUUUGAUUCAGGUUUCGUCUUUCCCAGUCGGGCGAAUGGCCAAUUACAUGAUAUCUCAAGUCCCUAUAGAUUUAAUUUAAUAUUAGUUAAAUAAAUUUUUAACCAGGCUUCUCGUAAUUUCUAAGAUUUUAUAAUGGAGAGUUUUUGCCGAACUCAAUUUCAUGCUAUUUUCAUAUUUUUCAUUUGUG
rnacentral:lncRNA from 1 species